rnacentral:rRNA from 1 species
GAUGAACGCUGGCGGCGUGCCUAAUACAUGCAAGUCGAGCGAACAGACGAGGAGCUUGCUCCUCUGACGUUAGCGGCGGACGGGAGAGUAACACGUGGUUAACCUACCUAUAAGACUGGGAUAACUUCGGGAAACCGGUGCUAAUACCGGAUCAUAUAUUGAACCGCAGGGUUCAAUAGUUAAAGACGGUUUUGCUGUCCCUUAUAGAUGGAUCCGCGCCGCAUGAGUGAGUUGGUAAGGUAACGGCUUACCAAAGCCACGAUGCGUAGCCGACCUGAGAGCGUGAUCGGCCACACUGGAACUGACACGCGGUCCAGACUCCUACAGGAGGCAGCAGUACCUAAUCGUCCCCGCUGGGCGAAAUCCUGACGGAGCAACGCCGCGUGAAUGAAGAAGGUCCUCGUGUCGUAUAACUCUCUUAUUGGUGAAGAACAAUUGUGUAAGUAACGAUGCUCGUCGUGACGGUACCUAAACAAAAAGCCCCGGCUAACUACGUG